GUUAAAACGGCGAUGUAUUGGCAGAGACUCAACUUUCCAGAGUGGAGAGUCACCACUGAAAGCAAAAUUCUAUCAUGAACUUGAGCUUCGGUUCUUUCACAUGUCUAUCACCUCAUAUUCACGAACUCAACUUUCAAUGGAAUUCGAGCCAUAAUCGAUCAAACUUUUCUCUCGGUCUACUUACAAACACCACCACCAACACUUCGUCGAGAUUAAUCGCUAGAGUUCUUGAACAAGGCCUCGAAGUUGUCUCCCCCGACACCGACGCCUCUUUGCGAAGCCGCCCUGUAGUCGACACAAAAGAAGAGGCCGGUGGAGCUCUAAAUGGACUCGCAGGGACUGAACAAGAGGCUAAAACAGUAAAAUCGCCAAAUAGACUUACGAAGAAGAGAGACGACGAGGAAAGUUCUAAUAUCAGGUUCAAGUUGCGAAAUGGAAAAGAGGUAUUUGAAGAAAGAGCCUAUCUUGUGGGUGUUGAGCGCAAAGGUGAUAAAGAGAAUUUGUUUGAUAUAGAGGAGUCUCUCGAGGAACUGGGCCAGCUGGCUGACACUGCUGGUUUAAUGGUUGUUGGUUCCACGUAUCAAAAGCUAACUUCACCAAACCCAAGGACGUACAUUGGAUCUGGCAAGGUUGCUGAAAUUAAGAGUGCAAUUCAUGUUUUUGGGGUUGAGACUGUAAUAUUUGAUGAUGAGCUUUCAGCAGGGCAGUUACGCAAUUUGGAAAAGGCUUUGGGUGGAGAUGUUAGAGUAUGUGAUCGCACUGCCCUUAUCCUGGAUAUUUUCAACCAGCGAGCAGCAACACAUGAAGCAGCUUUACAGGUUGCACUGGCACAAAUGGAAUACCAAUUACCUCGGUUGACUAGAAUGUGGACUCAUCUUGAACGUCAAGCAGGAGGACAGGUGAAGGGUAUGGGUGAGAAACAAAUUGAAGUGGACAAACGUAUCUUACGUAAUCAAAUUGGGGUUCUCAGAAAAGAGCUAGAAUCUGUUAGAAAACAUCGAAAGCAAUACCGGAACCGGCGCACUUCUGUACCUGUCCCUGUAGUGUCAUUGGUUGGGUACACAAAUGCUGGAAAGAGCACACUUUUAAAUCGAUUAACUGGAGCUAAUGUUCUUGCUGAGGAUCAAUUAUUUGCAACCCUUGAUCCAACUACAAGAAGAGUUCAGAUGAAAAAUGGCAAGGAGUUUCUUCUUACAGAUACUGUUGGGUUUAUUCAGAAGUUACCAACUACCUUGGUGGCUGCCUUCAGAGCAACUUUGGAGGAGAUAUCAGAGUCAUCACUUUUAGUGCAUGUGGUAGACAUCAGCCAUCCCCUGGCACAGCAACAGAUACAUGCUGUGGACAAAGUUCUGUCAGAGCUAGAUGUGUCAUCAAUUCCGAAGUUAAUGGUGUGGAACAAGGUUGAUAGGGUGAGUGAUCCUCAAAAGAUCAAGUUGGAAGCUGAGAAAAUGAAAGAUGUUGUGUGCAUAUCUGCUUUGAGCGGUAGUGGAUUAGAUGAAUUCUGCAAUGCAGUUCAGGAAAAAUUGAAGGAUUCUAUGGUCUGGGUGGAAGCAUUGGUCCCAUUUGACAAAGGCGAGCUUCUCAGUACGGUACAUCAAGUUGGAAUGGUGGAGAGAACUGAAUAUACAGAAAAUGGGACAUUAGUGAAGGCACAUGUUCCCCUUCGUUUUGCAAGGUUGCUGACACCGAUGAGACAGAUGUGUUUAUCAUGAUUCCCAACUUUAUUAGUCAAUAUCAUUUUUCAUUCUAUUGUUAUUGCACCAAUCCUUCAUGAAUGUAUGAUAAUGAAUCUUUUGGGCAAAUGCUUACUAUUUUUCCAGAGACAGGGAGAGUAAGGAAGCUCUGUGUUUUCUUGACAAUUUACUAAUUUGCUAUGAGCUACCCCGUUCUAGCCCAAGUUCUCCAGUGAAAUGUUCAAGGCUCAAAGCGGGACAUAUAGGAUCUCUGCAUGAUGCUGAGCCUCGUUGAGCUGGAGGAAACUGGAGCAGUGCAAUAUUGGAGCCGGUUAAACUGAGACCCUUUGUAUGACCACUGCAGUAGACAUACCGUCGGUGCUAUGAGGCUUUUGGGUUUAUUAUGGUAGUAGGUUAACAAAGGGGUGGAUUUAAUUCGAACGGUUAGUGCAUGAAUCGUUGUAUGGCUUGAUUUGAAUGGAGCUUGUGUCAUUGGCAAUUAUUUUCUUUUUCACUUUUCUUUUGUAUACAAAUGAUUAUUCUUUUUCAAUGAUUCAAAUGAGUCGAAUUCGAUCUCAA